UAGCUAGUUGGUGAGGUAAAGGCUUACCAAGGCGACGAUCUGUAGCGGGUCUGAGAGGAUGAUCCGCCACACUGGAACUGAGACACGGUCCAGACUCCUACGGGAGGCAGCAGUGGGGAAUUUUGGACAAUGGGGGCAACCCUGAUCCAGCCAUGCCGCGUGAGUGAAGAAGGCCUUCGGGUUGUAAAGCUCUUUCGGCCGGGAAGAAAUCGCAUGGGCCAAUACCCUGUGUGGAUGACGGUACCGGAAUAAGAAGCACCGGCUAACUACGUGCCAGCAGCCGCGGUAAUACGUAGGGUGCGAGCGUUAAUCGGAAUUACUGGGCGUAAAGCGUGCGCAGGCGGUUUUGUAAGACAGGCGUGAAAUCCCCGGGCUUAACCUGGGAACUGCGUUUGUGACUGCAAGGCUAGAGUACGGCAGAGGGGGGUGGAAUUCCACGUGUAGCAGUGAAAUGCGUAGAGAUGUGGAGGAACACCAAUGGCGAAGGCAGCCCCCUGGGUCGAUACUGACGCUCAUGCACGAAAGCGUGGGUAGCAAACAGGAUUAGAUACCCUGGUAGUCCACGCCCUAAACUAUGUCAACUAGGUGUUGGGUGGGUAAAACCAUUUAGUACCGUAGCUAACGCGUGAAGUUGACCGCCUGGGGAGUACGGCCGCAAGGUUAAAACUCAAAGGAAUUGACGGGGACCCGCACAAGCGGUGGAUGAUGUGGAUUAAUUCGAUGCAACGCGAAAAACCUUACCUACCCUUGACAUGCCAGGAACUUGCCAGAGAUGGCUUGGUGCCCGAAAGGGAGCCUGGACACAGGUGCUGCAUGGCUGUCGUCAGCUCGUGUCGUGAGAUGUUGGGUUAAGUCCCGCAACGAGCGCAACCCUUGUCGUUAAUUGCCAUCAUUUAGUUGGGCACUUUAACGAGACUGCCGGUGACAAACCGGAGGAAGGUGGGGAUGACGUCAAGUCCUCAUGGCCCUUAUGGGUAGGGCUUCACACGUCAUACAAUGGUCGGUACAAAGGGUUGCCAAGCCGCGAGGUGAGCCAAUCCCAGAAAGCCGAUCGUAGUCCGGAUUGCAGGCUGCAACUCGCCUGCAUGAAGUCGGAAUCGCUAGUAAUCGUGGAUCAGCAUGUCACGGUGAAUACGUUCCCGGGUCUUGUACACACCGCCCGUCACACCAUGGGAGCGGGUUCCGCCAGAAGUAGGUUGCCUAACCGCAAGGGGGGCGCUUACCACGGCGGGGUUCGUGACUGGGGUGAAGUCGUAACAAGGUAGCCGUAGGGGAACCUGCGGCUG
rnacentral:rRNA from 1 species